rnacentral:SRP_RNA from 1 species
UGGCGGGCUAGCCCGGGUAGCUCGGCGUUACCUGUAACCCGACACCGUCGAUAGCGGGGGGCGAAGCCAGAGGAAGUAGUUUUAACUAUUGCCGGGCCCACAGGUUUUACUGUGAAACCCCGUCCUUUGGGGAUGGUGGUGGUACAGGGGCUUUCCUGAAGGAAGGUUGCUGUAUCUUAACCGCGGAUAACGGUCGAGGUCCGGAAGGGAGCAGACCAGCUGCGGACAACUAUCGCUCAUUGGGUUGCGGGGUGGAGGCGAGCCUGCGGAUUACCUGACAAUGGAAGAAUCUGCGACCCGAGGCGUGCCCGCUA